rnacentral:rRNA from 1 species
AGUGAACGCUGGCGGUAGGCCUAACACAUGCAAGUCGAACGGCAGCACAGUAAGAGCUUGCUCUUACGGGUGGCGAGUGGCGGACGGGUGAGGAAUACAUCGGAAUCUACUUUUUCGUGGGGGAUAACGUAGGGAAACUUACGCUAAUACCGCAUACGACCUACGGGUGAAAGCAGGGGAUCUUCGGACCUUGCGCGAUUGAAUGAGCCGAUGUCGGAUUAGCUAGUUGGCGGGGUAAAGGCCCACCAAGGCGACGAUCCGUAGCUGGUCUGAGAGGAUGACAGCCCACACUGGAACUGAGACCCGGCCCGGCCCCUCACGGGACGCACUAGGGGGGAAUUUGGCCCACUGGCCCCAAGCCUGACCGCCCCGCCCCGGGGGGGAGAAACGGCCCUUCGGGUUUUAAACCCUUUUUUUGGGGAAAAAAAACCACCGGUUUAACCCCCCGUUGUUCGCCCGCUCCCCAAAAAAACACCCCGGCCAACCUUCGGC